rnacentral:lncRNA from 1 species
GAACUUGCACAUUUCGGUACGGAUACAGCUAUAAUCUUCUAUAAUGUAGUUAUGCUCUCGGUAUAGAUUGAUGAGAGCAUUGUAAACAGCGCUGUAUUCGGCUUCAGAGUUGUCGGACAGAGAAUUUCCAAUGCCAACCACUUUCUGCAACCUGCUUUCUUCUGCAACUACUGGGACGUCAAAGGAAACAACAUACUGCUAUUUCUCUAAGCAUGGUGAU